rnacentral:tRNA from 1 species
CAAUGGUAGCGCAUCAGACUUCGAAUCUGGUGGUUGCGGGUUCGAGUCCCGUCGG